rnacentral:rRNA from 1 species
ACUACGGGAGGCAGCAGUGGGGAAUAUUGGGCAAUGGGCGCAAGCCUGACCCAGCAACGCCGCGUGAAGGAAGAAGGCUUUCGGGUUGUAAACUUCUUUUCCCAGGGACGAAGCAAGUGACGGUACCUGAGGAAUAAGCCACGGCUAACUACGUGCCAGCAGCCGCGGUAAUACGUAGGUGGCAAGCGUUAUCCGGAUUUACUGGGUGUAAAGGGCGUGUAGGCGGUACGGCAAGUCAGAUGUGAAAACCAUGGGCUCAACCUAUGGCCUGCAUUUGAAACUGUAGUUCUUGAGUACUGGAGAGGCAGGCGGAAUGCCUAGUGUAGCGGUGAAAUGCGUAGAUAUUAGGAGGAACACCAGUGGCGAAGGCGGUCUGCUGGACAGCAACUGACGCUGAGGCGCGAAAGCGUGGGGAGCAAACAGGAUUAGAUACCCCAGUAGUC